CGCGCCCGCCAGAGGACCACAAAACUUCCAGUCAGUGAACUUUGCUGUCUGAUAUAAAUUCAAUAAACUAAAACUUUCAACAACGGAUCUCUUGGUUCUGGCAUCGAUGAAGAACGCAGCGAAAUGCGAUAAGUAAUGUGAAUUGCAGAAUUCAGUGAAUCAUCGAAUCUUUGAACGCACAUUGCGCCCUUCGGUAUUCCGAAGGGCAUGCCUGUUCGAGCGUCAUUACACCCCUCAAGCUCUGCUUGGUGUUGGGCAGCGUCCUCUCGGACGCGCCUCAAAGACCUCGGCGGUGGCGUCUUGCCUCAAGCGUAGUAGAAAACACCUCGCUUUGGAGGACGGGACGACCGCUCGCCGGACGAACCUUUGAAUUCAUUUUCCUAGGUUGACCUCGGAUCAGGUAGGGAUACCCGCUGAACUUAAGCAUAUCAAUAAGCGGAGGAAAAGAAACCAACUGGGAUUGCCUUAGUAACGGCGAGUGAAGCGGCAAUAGCUCAAAUUUGAAAGCUGGCGUCUUUGGCGUCCGCGUUGUAAUUUGUAGAGGAUGCUUCGGCGAGGGCUCCGGUCUAAGUUCCCUGGAACGGGACGUCAUAGAGGGUGAGAAUCCCGUAUGUGAUCGGUUGCCUAAGCCAUGUGAAGCUCCUUCGACGAGUCGAGUUGUUUGGGAAUGCAGCUCUAAAUGGGAGGUAAAUUUCUUCUAAAGCUAAAUACCGGCCAGAGACCGAUAGCGCACAAGUAGAGUGAUCGAAAGAUGAAAAGCACUUUGGAAAGAGAGUUAAAAAGUACGUGAAAUUGUUGAAAGGGAAGCGCUUGCAACCAGACUCGUCCGCAGUUGCUCAGCCGGUCUCUUGACCGGCGUACUCUUCUGCGGCCGGGCCAGCAUCAGUUCGGGCGGCCGGAUAAAGGCCUCGGGAAUGUAGCACCCUUCGGGGUGUGUUAUAGCCCGGGGUGGAAUGCGGCCAGCCUGGACUGAGGAUCUCGCUCGGCUA
rnacentral:rRNA from 1 species